GAUGAACGCUAGCGGCAGGCCUAAUACAUGCAAGUCGAACGGUGUCUUCGGACAUAGUGGCGCACGGGUGCGUAACACGUAUGCAACCUACCUUACAUUGGGGGAUAGCCUUUCGAAAGGGAGAUUAAUACCGCAUAAGACAGUAGCUGGGCAUCCAGCAGCUGUUAAAGAUUUAUCGAUGUAAGCUGGGCAUGCGUCCAAUUAGCUAGUUGGUGAGGUAACGGCUCACCAAGGCAAUGAUUGGUAGGGGAACUGAGAGGUCAAUCCCCCACACUGCCACUGAGAUACGGGCCAGACGCCUACGGGAGGCAGCAGUAGGGAAUAUUGGGCAAUGGACGCAAGUCUGACCCAGCCAUGCCGCGUGCAGGAUGAAGGCGUUAUGCGUUGUAAACUGCUUUUAUACAGGAAGAAACGACUCUUGCGAGAGGCAUUGACGGUACUGUAUGAAUAAGCACCGGCUAACUCCGUGCCAGCAGCCGCAGUAAGAC
rnacentral:rRNA from 1 species